UACAGAGGUCUCAAGCGUUGUUCGGAUUCAUUGGGCGUAAAGGGUGCGUAGGUGGGCUGGUAAGUCAGUGGUGAAAUCUCCAGGCUUAACUUGGAAACUGCCAUUGAUACUAUCAGUCUUGAAUAUUGUGGAGGUCAGCGGAAUAUGUCAUGUAGCGGUGAAAUGCUUAGAUAUGACAUAGAACACCAAUUGCGAAGGCAGCUGGCUACACAUAUAUUGACACUGAGGCACGAAAGCGUGGGGAUCAAACAGG
rnacentral:rRNA from 1 species